rnacentral:lncRNA from 1 species
GUGAGUCUCUUGGGAAAACGAUAUUCGAUCUUACCAUUUUAUAUUACUUGAUAUGAUUCGGUACACUUGCUGAAGUCUUAACAGGUGCAUAUAUUAAAAAGGGGCAUGUAAUAAAGGAUUUAAAAAAGAUGUGUAGGUAAAGAAAACGAGGUGCAAGAAGUAAGCCCAAAAAACCAAAAAAUUAGGGGGAGUUCAAAUAUUGAAAAAAGGCUACAGUAAUAAAAAGGCCUAAAAAUAAAAUGAAGAAAAAAGGUGUAAGUGGUGAAAAAAGGGUACAAGAAGUAAGCCAAUAAGUCCAAAUAAAACCAGGAAGGAUGCUAAUAUUAAAAGGUGGAUUGUAGGAAAAAUUUGUGGGUUCAGGCCCAUACAAAAUUCAUAAUACGAAAUAUAUGUAGUAAGAAAAUAUUUUUGGAAUUGUUUAUUUAAUUUUUUUGUUGAAAAAGAAAUUCAAAAAUGUGUAUCACACUAUGCGAAGGAUCAAAGCAACACUGAAAGAAAUGAGUAAAGACAUUUUUUUAUGAUUUUUAGAACAAAAUAUUUGUGAAUAGUAAAAAUAAUGCACCCA